GACGAACGCUGGCGGCGUGCUUAACACAUGCAAGUAGAACGGGCGAUAUUGGAAGCUUGCUGAAGAUAUCGUUAGUAGCGGACGGGUGAGUAAUGCAUGAGGACCUGCCUGCCGGAGGGGGACAACAGUUGGAAACGGCUGCUAAUACCCCGUACGCCGAGAGGUGAAAGGAAUGGAGACAUUCCGCCGGGAGAGGGACUCAUGUCCUAUCAGCUGGUUGGUGAGGUAACGGCUCACCAAGGCGACGACGGGUAGCCGGCCUGAGAGGGCGAACGGCCACACUGGAACUGAGAGACGGUCCAGACUCCUACGGGAGGCAGCAGUGGGGAAUAUUGGGCAAUGGGGGCAACCCUGACCCAGCGACGCCGCGUGAGGGAAGAAGGCCUUCGGGUCGUAAACUUCUUUUGUACGUGAAGAAGCAGAUGACGGUAGCGUACGAAUAAGUCCCGGCUAACUACGUGCCAGCCGCCGCCGUAA
rnacentral:rRNA from 1 species